rnacentral:lncRNA from 1 species
CUUUGCUUGUCAAUGGGAAUUCCCCGGGUAGAAGGGAGCCUUGUGGCACUGUGAGGUAUCAUUCUGAAUUCUUACAGCAAAGUUGAUGCCAUGACCUCCAUAUAAGGCAUUCACGGGGUCUCAGCCUUCCUUCACCUUCCCUCCCAGGCCUAGAAGACGUGGCAUGACCUUUCUUAGGAUUAGAGAAGACCUCGGAUAUGGGAUAUUCUUGUCUCAUUGACUCGUAAAAAAGACUGUCAUUUUUGGAGAACAAAUUACAGAGAGAAGAAUGGACCUCCAAACAGCUUUAGGGAAGACAAACAGAGAAGGCGUGAAGCAGUUACGGCAAUGGUUUGGAGUCAGCAGGGCAAAGAGAACACCAAGAAGAGGCCAGUAGGCCAGCAGGUCCAUACAGCCGGGAGCAGUGUGGUCUGGGAAGUGUAGCCAGUAGCCAGUUACUGCAGCCUCCGGAUGUCCCUAUGAGCAGUCCAGGCAGCUGGUCACCUGGAGUCCACGUAAUUAGAGGCAAGGGGUCAGGGCUCCACGGCAGUAUGUGUUGAUCUUAG